CCUUUGCAAACUCCGAAUACCAGUAAGUAAUAUCCGGGAGACACACGGCGGGUGCUAACGUCCGUCGUGAAGAGGGAAACAACCCAGACCGCCAGCUAAGGUCCCAAAGUUAUAGCUAAGUGGGAAACGAUGUGGGAAGGCUCAGACAGCCAGGAUGUUGGCUUAGAAGCAGCCAUCAUUUAAAGAAAGCGUAAUAGCUCACUGGUCGAGUCGGCCUGCGCGGAAGAUUUAACGGGGCUAAGCUAUACACCGAAGCUGCGGCAAUGUGAAUU
rnacentral:rRNA from 1 species